GACGAACGCUGGCGGCGUGCCUAAUGAAUGCGAGUCGAACGGCAACCGAGCUGCGUCUUCGGACAAGGCUCGGCUAGAGUGGCGAACGGGUGAGUAACACGUGGGCAACCUGCCUCUAAGACGGGGACAACAGCGCGAAAGUGCUGCUAAUACCCGAUGUUCUGUGAUCGCACAAGCGGUUACAGCAAAGCUUCGGCGCUUAGAGAUGGGCCCGCGGCCGAUUAGCUUGUUGGUGGGGUAACGGCCUACCAAGGCGACGAUCGGUAGCCGACCUGAGAGGGUGACCGGCCACACUGGGACUGAGACAUGGUCCAGACUCCUACGGGAGUUAGCAUCAGGGAAUCUUGCGCAAUGGGCGAAAGCCUGACGCAGCGACGCCGCGUGGGUGAUGAAGAUCUGCGGAUCGUAAAGCCCUGUCUGGAGGGAAGAAGAUCUGACUGUACCUCCGGAGGAAGCCCCGGCUAACUACGUG
rnacentral:rRNA from 1 species